UGGAGGAUGACAUCACUCUACCAACCAGGGUUGUAAGUUUGUAUUAACCAAACAAACUGGAAAUAAAGGGCUUAAAAAUAAGACAAACUACAUGUUUUUUACCAGUCUUUAGGGCCAGACUCGCGCUGUUUGUUCCAGACCAGGACUCUGGCUGAGGAGAGCUGAUGGAGGAGCCAAGACUCUGGAGGACGACAUCACUCCACCAACCAGGAUCCUUACCAGGAAUCUGGAGGACUGAUGGAGAAGCCGUACAUCUGGAAGGCAAAUCCUGAGGGCCACCAGGACUCUACCAUCAAGUAUUCCUCAUAAAUGUGCAGUAUCUGGACAUAGUGGACUAGACACAGCUGAGCUGAACCUCACCUGAUCCUGUUUGGUCGGGGGUAGACACACCUG